UAAGGAAUAUUGGACAAUGGACGCAAGUCUGAUCCAGCCAUGCCGCGUGAAGGAUGAAUGCCCUCUGGGUUGUAAACUUCUUUUAUAGGGGAAGAAAGAUACUUUUUUUAAGGUAGUUGACGGUACCCUAUGAAUAAGCACCGGCUAACUCCGUGCCAGCAGCCGCGGUAAUACGGAGGGUGCAAGCGUUAUCCGGAUUUACUGGGUUUAAAGGGUGCGUAGGCGGGCAUGUAAGUCAGUGGUGAAAUACCGGAGCUUAACUUCGGAACUGCCAUUGAUACUAUAUGUCUUGAAUAUUGUGGAGAUAAGCGGAAUAUGUCAUGUAGCGGUGAAAUGCAUAGAUAUGACAUAGAACACCGAUUGCGGAGGCAGCUUGCUACGCAAAUAUUGACGCUGAGGCACGAAAGCGUGGGGAUCAAACA
rnacentral:rRNA from 1 species